GCCCCUCACCUGAGCUUGCUCACCUGUGGGCCCCUCACCUGAGCUUGCUCCACCUGUGGGCCCCUCACCUGAGCUUGCUCCACCUGUGGGCCCCGUUGGUCAUGGUGAAGCCUCCCGUCUCCAGCUGCUGUAUGUGCAUGGCCAGCAGGUGGGCUGAGGGCAGGGUGGGCUGGGCCCUGAGGCGCCGUCCUUCCAUCAGACACAGGCUGUCGCUCUUCAGGAAGACCUGGGACCCAGACGGGCAUGGGGUGAGCAGGGACAAGGGGGCAUCCCUGGUGCCCAGCAGGGCUGGCCAGUGCCAUUUGGUGCAUGGGGCACCACACCCCAAUUUGCCAUCCAAUUCAAAAUGUCCCUUGGCUCCCGGGCUGGGGGUCCAGGCUCUGCAGCGUGUGGGCACAGGAGGAACACUGACUCCCCAGAAAGACAUGCGCUUCCUGCUGCUGAGGUGCUGGUUCCAGAAGCGCGCUGAGGAACACCCACCCUAAUGAGACAGCGCCAGGCCCCCGGCUGCUGUCAGCCGACGACACACGGGAGCCGUCCCACUGGCGGAGCUGAGCCUGGGCUGGAUGCAGGCUGCCCCUGGCGCCUCGGCCCGUCAGCCAGAGGCUGUGUCCUGGCCGACCGUCUCUCUCUCGAGGGGCAGUCAGGAGGCGGUGGGCUUGGAUACCCGCACCCCCAGCGGGAGUCAGACCCAUAAGGCACAGUCGGCAGGGAGGGCUCCUGGAGCACCNNNNNGGGAGGGCUCCUGGAGCACCCCUGCCUCUGCCCGUCCCACCACCCGUCACCCGCCGCCCCUGGGGGGAUGCGAGCUCCCGGGAGCUCACGCACACCGAUACCUCCACAGCUUUCAGCUCCUCCAGCUCCUGCACGUAGUUGUGCACGUCGGGGCCGAAGCAGUCGGCCUCAUAGAAGGCACUGCACCAGCCGGGGCUGCAGCUCAGCGCGCCUGGUGGGGCGGGGCUCACCGCCAGGCCACGCUCAGGGGGCUGGGGGGGCCGGGACUCGGCCUCGCCACCCCCUGCCAGGCCCCCGCCCUGCAGCUGGGCCUCCGGCUGCCGCUCCCUCCCGGCUUUGACGGACUGCUGAGGCCGGAACCCCACUUCGAAGUUGCCCCGAGAAAGCUCAUCUGAGUCCACACCCGGCUUCUCCUUCCCUGGACAGAGGAGAGAGGGUCACACGUGACGACGUGGGUUCCGGGAGACAGUUCAGCCCUGACUGUAGGGAGAAGCGUCAGGUCCCGAGGAGGGGCUGGGAGGGUCCUCGGGGUCCCCUUCCCAGUGGGCCGCCGUGCAGGGCAGAGUCAGGACAGAGAUCCCAGGGAACCUGGGCCUGUUCUCAGACGAGGCAGAGGGACCUGGGAACCCGGGGUCCCCCCUCCACUGGCGCACGGUGCCCGAGUGCGAGCGGUCUGGGGGCCAUCCUGCACGUGAGCACAGCCGCAGCUGCCUGGCCCCUAGGGCUGGGACCCGUCCGACGGGCUUUGGGGCGUCAUCAGGAGCCUGGGGCUCCAGCUGCAGGAAGCACCUCGACGUCUUAAAUGGCUCGUGUCCAGCAAGGAUGCCACGGUCACCCCGUCACCACACUGCUGCCCCAGCCCUCGCCCUUGCCGCCCGCUGA
rnacentral:lncRNA from 1 species